rnacentral:rRNA from 1 species
GACGAACGCUGGCGGCGUGCUUAACACAUGCAAGUCGAACGGAAAGGCCCUGGUUUUGUGGGGUGCUCGAGUGGCGAACGGGUGAGUAACACGUGAGUAACCUGCCCUUGACUUUGGGAUAACUUCAGGAAACUGGGGCUAAUACCGGAUAGGAGCUCCUGCUGCAUGGUGGGGGUUGGACAGUUUCGGCGGUUGGGGAUGGACUCGCGGCUUAUCAGCUUGUUGGUGGGGUAGUGGCUUACCAAGGCUUUGACGGGUAGCCGGCCUGAGAGGGUGACCGGCCACAUUGGGACUGAGAUACGGCCCAGACUCCUACGGGAGGCAGCAGUGGGGAAUAUUGCACAAUGGGCGGAAGCCUGAUGCAGCAACGCCGCGUGCGGGAUGACGGCCUUCGGGUUGUAAACCGCUUUCGCCUGUGACGAAGCGUGAGUGACGGUAAUGGGUAAAGAAGCACCGGCUAACUACGUG